rnacentral:ncRNA from 1 species
GGGCAGGAUAGGUGAAGUUAGCUAACCGGCGGAGCCGAUUAACUAUCUUCACUUCCCCUUAUUCGCCCCGGAGGCGCUCAACGGGUAAUCCUGCUCUGCGAGGCU